rnacentral:tRNA from 1 species
GGGUCGUUAGCUCAGUUGGUAGAGCAGCUGACUCUUAAUCAGCGGGCCACAGGUUCGAAUCCUGUACGACCCACCA